GGAGUUGGUAUCUCAGUGGUCGAGUGCAUGCACUAUAUGUAUGAUGUCCUGGGUUCAAUCCCCAGCGUCUCUC